CCUAUUGGAGACACUAAUCUUCUAUGGUUAAGUACUGGUGCAUAUUCUAUUACCAUAAUUUUCAUUUGUAUGCUGGUUUGGUUAACAGUUACUUUCUGUAUGGUGGUUCUUGCACUGUUUGCUGAUGCCGGCAACUCUUUGAUGUUGGAGUUAGUGAAUUUGUAGGAAGCAGUUGGGUAAAUGUUAAGGAGGUGGUGGAGUGAUGGAGAGAUUUAUUUUUUGGAAAUAUUGAAGAGUUACCUUGUGAAUCAAUAAAACAGCUUAAUGUCACGAUAAUGGGUUGAUUUAACUGGAGGUCAAGGUUAUUAUAAAAUGUAACGAUUUGGAUGUUGGUUGGAAUGCAACUGUUUCGUUGUGAGUUGGUGAAGCCAACAAAUGUGACAGUGGAAAAGAUUUCUGUUGUGAGAUUGAUCUGUAGCGUAACUUGAGGUCUGUGUUAGGUUUGCAAUGCACCGGUUUGGUUCUGAGUUGCCAACAAAUCUGACAGUGCAAAUGCUUUCAAUGAUGGUUGCGUUUCAUAUCCCUACAAGUUAUAACACCCAAGAAUUUGUACAAGUUGAUCGACUCUAAUUGUACCCUGCUCAUAGAGUAUUCAUAGGAUGUCAUGUUUUUGCAUUUUGUGAAACAUGCAGUUCUGCAUUUUUUAACAUUUAAAGCAAGCUGCCAAUCAUUGCUCCACAUUCACAUAUUGUCAAGAUCUGACUGAAUGUCUGUGUAGCUUUUUACAAAGUAAUUCAAUUUAUGAAAUAGUCUUUAUGUAUGAAGGUGCUUCAGGGACAACAAACAGGAAACAUUUAUAACACCAAGUUAGUAAAAUGAAGUUUACAGUACUCCAGUUUUUCAAGCUUGCAUAUUACUCCCAAUGCUGUUUUUCUGCAUUUUAAAUAUGUUUAUGCUAUGAAUUACAUUUCUUGCUGCGGCUUUUAAUAUUCUCAAACCACAGCACACUGAUCUUUGACAAAUUAUUUAAGUCCCUAAACCAUUUAGACUCCUGCUGAACAAAGAUGACAAUAAUUUUUAACAAUUAACUUAAAAAAAAACUUACUUGGAUACAUUUUUGGUCAGACUGAUAAUUUUCGUUACUGUAGGCACAAGCACAUUUUUUUCAUAAGGUACAAUUUAUGCAGAAGCACUUUGAAUAAUUCUAUACACAAUAUGUAUAAAUAUUGCUCUUCAGAAUCAGUGAAGAGUUUGAAAACAAUUCGAUAAUUAUUAAAACCAUAUUGGCUAAAAUAUGAUAGGCUCAGUCCAAUGCAAACCUUGGUUAGGGUGGCAGGAUGAUUUGUAGAAUAGCCCGUGGUAUACAUUAUAUUGUUAGAUUACAAUUUGGUUGAGUUGGUGUGGCCAGUGAACGUGAAUACGAAAUAGAUUUUGCUAUAAGAUUGAUCUGCUGAGUAGACCGAUGUCAACGUUCGCACCAUACUAAAUACAGUUUCCUCGUUUACACAUUAUAAAACUGCAAAGUAAAUUCAGAAUACAUGUCUGCAACGGGUAUUUUACUGUGUAUCAUAUAACGUACAUAACCUACGAAAUGUUUCAGGAGCCACUACGUAGCUUACUACAUUAUUAUUUAUGAUACCUUUUUUGCGCAUCUAUACAAGCACAUUUCUACCACUUGUAAAUUGCAUUGAUCAUUUACAUUUAUGAUUUUUUGCCUCAUGAUGCCCUGAGUCCCGGCAUCUGUAGCAGUCGCAUAUUAUGUCCCGUUACCUGCGUAACGGAAUCGGAGCCAGAAAUGUGAAGAUGUUUGCCCUAAAUCAUAGUAGCCUAAUCGUUUCUGCGUAAGAAAAUUAAGCAAAAAAAGUUUGCUUAAACUUGGCGGUAUUAAUAGUAACGCAUCUGUGAUUUCUGUCUGGCAUGUUUUAAGAAAGAAAAUAAAAGCAAAGUGCAAAUUAAAGUUGCAUCAGGAAGCGAAUAUCGUUGCAAUGAUUACAUGAAGAUCUUAGAAGCAUAAAUCUUGUGUUGCAGAUAAGAUUGGAGUACCAUGAGAGCAACUGUGAAGUUUUUGUGAGUACGUCGACAUUUUGAGGUGAUACAGGAAGAUAAAACACAGUGGAGCAGAAAAAUGGCAUGGCUAUCCGGAUGUCGAGGGCAGCAACCGCCCCAGCCAAUGGAGACGUCGCAGCGGCAACAUGUCAUCUCACGUGGGGUUAUGGGCACGCAGAGAGGCCCUCGAGCUGUCGAAGCUAUAGGAAAUGACGUGGCAGCGAGAGUAUGCCUCGAAACUGAAGGAGUCCGAGGCACACAUUGAGAGAUGGUGGAGCAGCAGCUCAUGGUGACAGAGGAGCGGCACAAGACGCUGCAACAGGAGAUGAAGCACCACCGUGUGCGCACGCAGUACUAGGACCAGCUGGCAUGCAAGAGGAUGGCUUACAACCUCCGUCCCGCUGUGGGAUUCAGAAGAGGAGAUUAUGAAACCAUUACCAAUAGUAAUCAACAAACCGAAAGUACCCAACAUCACCCAACUUCUUCUUCUUUGGAGCACCGGUCAUGUGAGGAGUCUUCACAAUCUCAAUUUGACGGCGGAUGGGAAGUGUCGGUUUCACGCAUGCCAGCGUACCUAUUCGGAGCUUCGAGGUCACCCGCUGCGAGUGAAAACCCUGUUGGAGCCUCAUUAGAAAGUGAAAGCUUGCCACCUAGUAUUACUAGUGGCAAGAUUCCGCGAUUUAGGGAUUGCGCAACUUCCUCAAGGCUGCGUGCAGGCCAGGACGUGCCUGACCGGCUUGGACAUGUUCCAGACGCUGACGUUUGUUUGUGUGUCUAUCGACCUGCCAGUGCUUUUGUUUGGUGUUUGUGUAGGGCAUCCAGCAGUUACAGCAGAUGCGUUGCAGAGAAUUCACACGAGGCGGCGAAGAGUCUGCAUCUGCUCUCUGUCGGUGGCAUUCGGCACUACGUGGGCCGACUGCUCGCCAGCUCUGUCAGCUGCUGCCCUCUCACGGCACUCCCACACACUUUGUGCAGCCGCCUGAGUGCAGAGUCCCACCGUUAAGGCGCCAUCACUCUUCCAGAUGCCCGGUCCACCACGGCAGGAAGCAAUAGACGGACUGCUGUGAUGGCGUCUUGAAACAAAAACUGCGAGAUUCGUAACACUGCUCCACCAGCCGCACAGUUCGUCAGAGGCGUAGCUCCGCAGACUGCCAUCUGGGGCAGUGAGGGCACUGUCGGCAGUGGCGCCGGUCCGGCCAGUCGCUGCGUGGCGCCCCCUGCAGGCACUCUGCUGAUGCGGCGCCAGGCCACGGGAAAUGUGGAAAGUAGGAAGAACUUACUGUGGUGUCCUGUGAUGUGAGAGUGAAAGUGCAUAUUCCCCCGAGAGAGGGUAGUAUGUAUUGUAACAGCAGCACGGCAAGUGUGUGGGAAAGGAAUGAUUUUAGGCAGUUCUUCAAUUCUCUUUAUUUAAAUAUAAACUGGUAAGACGACAGCAGAUGACGGGAGCACCGUGUGAUGCAAGUACUGCUACCAAUGUGAGAUUUGUGUACUGCAGACACGAGUAAAUUCAGUGAGAGAUCACAACUGAAGAUACAUUCUAACUGUAAGGCUUAUACGGCAGUAAUUUGAGUAUUGUGCAGGUUACAUUAGUGUAACGUAGCAUCAUACACUUUGAUAGGAAAUUGUUUCCAGUAAUUAGGUAAUGUAGGGGACUGUAUCAAACAACUACUGUUAAUGUAGCUGAGUUAGACAACUAUUGAUAUUGCACCUGGCUUCAGGGUGAGUGUGUAUAGUGACCAUCACCACACUCUUGUAGCCCAGUAUUAAUUUUGAAGUAAGUUAAUAAUUUAGACGGCUGGUCACAUUUUCACAGCACUUGGCACAAUGAGUUAGACACUGUAGGGAGAGGUAGCAACAGUAGAACGUGUAUAAACUGUUUUCAUAGUACUCAUCUUUCCUUUUUCUUCUUUGUUGUAAGGCUUGUAGUACAUUCUGAAACGCAACUUUGUAUACUGGUCUAAAAGGUACUCGGCUUCACUUUUUUUAAAAAAUAAUAAUACAAACUUUGGAGGACUUUAUGUUGUCGAAUACAUAUAUUUUCAGUUAUUUCGCGUGCCGAGCUUUCGAGUGCGUGCGGAUCGCUCCCUUCUGACGUCACACGUCCCCCACUACCACACCAGCUGACUGCACGCACUUGUGCGGAACUACGAACGCGCCGCAUGCGACAGUGCAUUCGCGUAAGGAACUGUCGUGUCCCACUGACGUGUCCUGAGAGGGAGUGGAAGGACUGCGUUGGUGCGCGUCAGAGAACUAACUUGGCGUGAGGUCUCGGUGGUGUGGGCCGCCAACUCC
rnacentral:lncRNA from 1 species